GGGGCUGUGCGGAGCAAUGAUUGUGUUGGUGCGGAAGUUGUGGCUGUGGAGGUUGGCAGAAGGUGGGUGCUCAAAAACAUAGGCUGCUCCCCCCC